AUGCAACGUCGGAUGUUACGAUGGUCGUGGGUCCUCCAGGCGCGGGCGAGGCCCAGCCAGAGGCCCAAGCCUCGUGCCAUCCCGAUCGGACAUACGUGCAUGUAUCGCCGCUGCCUGUCGUCUCUACGAGCGAGUCUAGGGUUCCAGGUCCGGGUUUUCCUUCGCUCGGCACAGGACGGGCAAGGAGGAUCAUGUAUGUUGGCGGCAUGGCAGGACAAGGGCCGCCGCCCGUCAAGCGAGGCCCAGCUCCCGCCGGUGGCACUUUUUCUCCUGGCGGGGCUAGUCGUGGAACUUUGCCGGCCAAUAGGGCUGCCGCCACGGACGCGGUCGGUCGUGCCACUACGCCGAUCGCUGGCGCUGGUGCUGUUGGCCACGGUGCCCUGCUUGUGGGUGGUGUUGGCCGCGGUGCCCCGCCUAGUGGUGGGGUUAGCGGUGUUGGACGGGGCAGCUUGCCCCCUCCAAGGCCAGCGGCGGGGGGAGGGGUGCAACCCUGAGUCGGGAUCGGCUGGGGUGUUUCGUCCUCUGCGCGGCAGGGAGGGCGAUGCAUCUGGUUCUCUGGUGCCGACGCAUGUGCCCAGACCAAACACGCGCCAGCCGGAUGAAGUGGUGCCGCUGCCAGCAGCUAAGGCACCGGCCCUAGGAAGGGGUCGCGGCGUGCAAGGGCGUGGUGGAUACAGUGGUUACAACAAAGAUGGACAGAAUUUCAACCGAUACGGGCAGUGGGGAGACGAUGGAUAUGAUGCAUAUGGUGAGGGACUACACCGUGGAUCUUUGUCCGGUGGCGGUCGUGGAUAUAACCGACAUAAUGAUGAGGACACCGGACAUUUUCAAGGUCCGCCCGGUAAUUUUGUUGAAGGUGUUGCCGGACCCAGGGAUCGCUUCCGAGGUGGAUAUCACCGCGGUGGGAGAGGGAGACGCCCACCACCGCCUCGACACUACCCACCGCCACCAGCGCCUGCUACGGAUAUGGCUUCGGGGGAGGAGCUCGAGCACAUAGCGGAUGAGGUGGGAGAUCCAUCCACGCUACCCGCGGCGGCAGUUGACGCGGUUAGGGCUUUGGCAGCAGUGCAGGUUGCGGUGACUUCUGGAGAGACUAAAUCUAGGGAUGGCACGUCUGACAAAGGGUCGGAGAAAGCGGAGGGAGAAAAACUCUCUAAAUGGGCGAUUAAGAAGAAAAAGUUGCCUUGCUAUAGAUGUGGUGAACCAGGUCAUUUCAUGGCAGAGUGUAUGAAUGAACUUUGUGACUAUUGCCAACGCUCACAGCAUGUGACCGGGGCCUACCCUCUCCUCUUCGGUCCUAAGCCUGGUAUUAACAUUUUUGAGGUCUGUUGUAAAGAGUUGAUGUUCUUUGAGACACCAGAGGUGGACCCUCUAUCGCAGAUGGUUGAGAGUUCCUUCCCGGCAGUAAUCAAAGUUACUAAUGGACAGUUGACCGAGGCUCAGAUCGUGAGACAGCUACGUGACUUAGUGCCAUGUAAUUAUCAAUGGCAUCUGGAACAGUUAGAAAGUCGGACUUAUAAGGUGGACUUUCCAACUAAAGAGGAUCAGAUGCAUUUUCUUAAGUGGGGUCUAUGCAGAGUCACAAGCACCAACGUCAUUAUCGCUUUCGAUGAGUGGAAGCAGGAGGAACCGGAGGGUACACCUUUGGAGAAGGUGUGGGUUUGUUUCUAUGGCGCGCCACCUAAAUGGAUAAAGCAGUUUUUGAUUGCUUGGAGCUUGGGUGCUAUGAUUGGUAAGAUAGAAAAGGUUGACAUGCCAUUCACUCAUGCACAAGGAGUUGCGAGGUUGUUGGUCAGUGUUGUGAGUGUUGAGCAUAUACCAGAUGUGGUCAGAUGA
rnacentral:rRNA from 1 species